UGAGUACGAGACGCUAAGGCGUCGAAGUAGUGGAUGUCAUACUUCCAAGAAAAGCUUGCACUGUCAUAAAUAAGAAAUGCCUGUACCAUAACCGACACAGGUGGGUAAGUAGAGUAUACUAAGGGGCGCGAGAUAACUCUCUCUAAGGAACUCGGCAAAAUAACUCCGUAACUUCGGGAGAAGGAGUGCCUUAUUCUUAAGGUUGCAAUAACAAGAUCCAAGCAACUGUUUAUCAAAAACACAGGUCUCCGCUAAGUCGUAAGACGAUGUAUGGGGGCUGACGCCUGCCCAGUGCCAGAAGGUUAAAGAAGUCGGUUAGCAAUAGCAAAGCUGGUAACUGAAGCCCUGGUGAACGGCGGCCGUAACGAUAACGGUCCUAAGGUAGCGAAGUUCCUUGUCGGGUAAGUUCCGACCCGCACGAAAGGCGUAAUGAUUUGGAUGCUGUCUCGGAGAGGGGCUCGGUGAAAUAGACUUGUCUGUGAAGAUGCGGACUACCUGCACCAGGACAGAAAGACCCUAUGAAGCUUUACUGUAACUUGAAAUUGAAAUUGGACUUUAUUCGCGCAGUAUAGGUGGGAGGCGUUGAUUAUAAUCUUGUGGGAUUAUUGGAGCCAUCAGUGAGAUACCACUCUUGUAAUGUUAGAUUUCUAACUUUGAAUCAUUAUCUGGUCAAAGGACAGUUUCAGGCGGGCAGUUUGACUGGGGCGGUCGCCUCCUAAACGGUAACGGAGGCGUACAAAGGUUUCCUCUGAACGGUUAGAAAUCGUAUCUAGAGUGUAAAGGCAUAAGGAAGCUUGACUGUGAGACCUACAAGUCGAGCAGGGACGAAAGUCGGUCUUAGUGAUCUGACGGUACUGAGUGGAAAGGCCGUCACUCAACGGAUAAAAGUUACUCUAAGGAUAACAGGCUGGUCUCCCCCAAGAGUUCACAUCGACGGGGAGGUUUGGCACCUCGAUGUCGGCUCAUCGCAUCCUGGGGCGGUAGUACGUCCCAAGGGUUGGGCUGUUCGCCCAUGAAAGCGGUACGCGAGCUGGGUUCAGAACGUCGUGAGACAGUUCGGUCCAUAUCCGGUGUAGGCGCUAGAAUAUUGAGAGGAGCCUUCUUUAGUACGAGAGGACCGAGAAGGACAUACCUCUGGUGUACCAGUUAUCGUGCCAACGGUAAACGCUGGGUAGCUAUGUAUGGAGUGGAUAACCGCUGAAAGCAUCUAAGUGGGAAGCCCACCUCAAGAUAAGUAUUCUC
rnacentral:rRNA from 1 species